rnacentral:rRNA from 1 species
GACGAACGCUGGCGGCGUGCUUAACACAUGCAAGUCGAACGAUGAAACCUAGCUUGCUAGGUCGAUUAGUGGCGAACGGGUGAGUAACACGUGACUAACCUGCCCCUUUCUCUGGGAUAACGCUCCGAAAGGAGUGCUAAUACCGGAUACUCACACCGAGGCACAUGCCUUGGUGUGGAAAGUUUUUCGGAAAGGGAUGGAGUCGCGGCCUAUCAGCUUGUUGGUGAGGUAACGGCUCACCAAGGCGACGACGGGUAGCCGGCCUGAGAGGGGGACCGGCCACACUGGGACUGAGACACGGCCCAGAGUCCUACGGGAGGCAGCAGUGGGGAAUAUUGCACAAUGGGCGCAAGCCUGAUGCAGCGACGCCGCGUGAGGGAUGAAGGUCUUCGGAUUGUAAACCUCUUUCAGUAGGGACGAAGCGAAAGUGACGGUACCUAAAGAAGAAGCACCGGCUAACUACGUGCCAGCAGCCGCCGUAA